CGCAUUCACAUUCUACGUCGACAUACCGAUAACUUCGAUUUCGCUUUUGCUCGUGCUCUCGUGUCCCGAAUGUGAAUCAUUCGUCCCGGCUCGUAAUGUAGAACGGACUUUCAAGCGAUCGAGCGACUCUCGGUCGAACGAGAGAGAUAAGUGCACGGUCGACGUAGGAGGAAGAUGGCGAGCGAGAAAGAGGAGAGCGCAAGCCUGCAAACGAGUGGGACGUAGAUAUACGAGGCGAAGCGAAGUCAAGUGAGACACCGUGCUCUGUAGUGUCUUGCAAUGCCAUGAGGAUGGUGGAUGAUGUUAGUGGGAUAAAGCGAAGUGAAGGCACGCCAUUCUCCGUAUGCGGGUACGUUAGCAGCGUUGCGCGCUGGCGGGCAAGGCCAGGGCUGACUGGUCAUUUUCUUGCGCAACUCUCCGGCAGCCGUGUACCGUGGGUAGAGGGCCGAGACUAAUGUAGGAAUGGAAUAACAACAUCUCGGGCUGCUUCGCACUUUUACCAGAGCGGCGCUGCGAUCGGUUACUUCUUACAACUUUGUGCCAUUCGGAUUUAACGUACAAUAAUUCUUAUAUCCCUUCGAAAGCCAUCUGACUAUGACUCCCCGACUCUUUGGGAAUGCUAUAUGUAGGGAACGGGAAUUCUGGGUAGAACGUCACGCUCGUACGGGAUUACGUAUGGGACGAGGCAUCUAGUAUAGGUUAUGUUCGUAGCCACGCGGAUAAUCGCGUUAUAGAUUCCUCCCGUGUGCUUUACUAGAGUGAAUUACUGUUGUCGUCGAUUUUUUUUAACCAGGGUGGACCGCAAGUAUCGCUCGACGUGGUAUAUGGAUAUACGCGAUGAGGUAAACACCGCGAUGACGGUAACGAAGGAGAUCGGAUCUUGACCCCGUCGUCACAUUAGGGUCAGGGUCGUCUGUACGGUGGUAAAAUUCCUUGUAAUUACGAUCACGCGAAGCAACAAGCUCUUUUUCCCUUGUUUGAGUCUGAUCUAAGGUCAGAACGAUCGUAGCGUCGCUGAAUAUAAAACUCAUGGCGUAUCAUGGCUGACGCAAUCAUCCCGUGUCUCGAUGCACGGACACGUUUUCUCAGCUGGGUGGAAAAAAUUGUAAUUCAACAUUCGAUGCCUGCCGACGCCUCGUACAGCUUGCUCGUUUGUUAUGUAUCUGAGAAACUAGAAAUUAUACGAGUGACUCGUGGUGUCUCAUGGUUAAAUAACUUUUUUGAAGGCGUCUCGACGUCUGAAUAGGGUCUCGGUAAAUCGUGAGGGAGCGAAUAUCAGCCUGUGCUCCACUGGCCAACUAUUCGUAUUGACGGAAGCCACGUAGCUCGCGAGAGUAGUGACGCAUCUCUGGGAUGCUCGAGAGAUUUCAAUGGCUGGUGGAGAAUCGCAAAUUAACUGAGUAGGACGUCGCGACGCUUGCCUCCUGUGCCGGCAGCGUUGAACUCUCUCUAUCGGUGCGAUACGCGACACACGAGCGGGAAAUUGAAGUCUCGAUCUAAUAGUUCGGAAUUUUGACGUCCGCGGCGCUGCAGUAGCGCAUGGCGCUGCGCGUUAAGGUGCCUCGUGAUUGUCGAACAGUGUCCCGUACGCUGACUCCCUGGCUCGCUGGCCUGUUUUACCUUCUCCUCUUCGUCUCGCAACUCGAGAGAGUCCGCGUGGCUCGCGGUUAGGUAAGAAGGAACGAGAAAGAUGGAGAUACGCGCCAGAGUCAAGGCCGCUCAGUGCUCCGGCUUCACGCUACUAACCAACAAGGAAACCUGCGCUGUCCGCGACUCACCUUAAGCCUCAAGAAAAAAAAUUGUAUACGUGUCAACCUACAAAAUUACCAUUGACAUGAGCAACGGCGAUUGAGAAACACUGUUCUCCGACACACGCUCCACUUGGCCCUCGAUACACCAUGUACUUUCACCGACCAUGACUGCUCCACACGUUCUACUCUAGGAGUUUAACGGAUAAAAGGGUUAAUGGAGAAUCACGAAAGUGCCGCCACUGUCACAGUCGCUGUCAUUCUUGGUGGCAAUUACCAGAUUUAGGUGCAGAGACAUAUACCGAAAUGAAACCGAAUAUUACCGAGGAGUUCCCACUAACAUGAAUGAAAAACAGUUCUAAUUUACAUAUAAUCAAUAAAAAAGAUAUAUACGUCAGCAUAA